GACGAACGCUGGCGGCAUGCCUAAUACAUGCAAGUCGAGCGAACAGAUGAAGUGCUUGCACUUCUGACGUUAGCGGCGAACGGGUGAGUAACACGCAAGGAAUCUACCUAUAAGCGGGGGAUAACAUUCGGAAACGGGUGCUAAUACCGCAUAAUAUCUUCUUCCGCAUGGAAGAAGAUUGAAAGACGGCUCUGCUGUCACUUAUAGAUGACCUUGCGGUGCAUUAGUUAGUUGGUGGGGUAACGGCAUACCAAGACGAUGAUGCAUAGCCGACCUGAGAGGGUGAUCGGCCACAUUGGGACUGAGACACGGCCCAAACUCCUACGGGAGGCAGCAGUAGGGAAUCUUCCGCAAUGGGCGAAAGCCUGACGGAGCAAUGCCGCGUGAGUGAAGAAGGCCUUCGGGUCGUAAAACUCUGUUAUAAGAGAAGAACAAAUUGUAGAGUAACUGCUACAGUCUUGACGGUAUCUUAUCAGAAAGCCACGGCUAACUACGUGCCAGCAGCCGCGGUAA
rnacentral:rRNA from 1 species